rnacentral:rRNA from 1 species
CCUCCCUCUUUCUUCGUGCUUAACCCCUGCCAGUCGCACGGAAAGGCCCUGCUUUUGUGGGGUGCUCGAGUGGCGAACGGGUGAGUAACACGUGAGUAACCUGCCCUUGACUUUGGGAUAACUUCAGGAAACUGGGGCUAAUACCGGAUAGGAGCUCCUGCUGCAUGGUGGGGGUUGGAAAGUUUCGGCGGUUGGGGAUGGACUCGCGGCUUAUCAGCUUGUUGGUGGGGUAGUGGCUUACCAAGGCUUUGACGGGUAGCCGGCCUGAGAGGGUGACCGGCCACAUUGGGACUGAGAUACGGCCCAGACUCCUACGGGAGGCAGCAGUGGGGAAUAUUGCACAAUGGGCGGAAGCCUGAUGCAGCAACGCCGCGUGCGGGAUGACGGCCUUCGGGUUGUAAACCGCUUUCGCCUGUGACGAAGCGUGAGUGACGGUAAUGGGUAAAGAAGCACCGGCUAACUACGUG